ensembl:lncRNA novel transcript, antisense to BTBD11
UGACAUGACGUGCCCUGAGCAAAACCGACCAAGAGUGAUGUCUCUCUGUGAGUUUAAAGCUGGCCAGGAGCAGGUAAAAUAAAGCAUUCUGAGUGGAUGUGCACUGCAUGGAGUUGGCUGUCAGCUGGCAGGGGUGAUGCACAUGGAGGAGGUGGGGAGCCUGUUCAGACCCUCGGACCCUGUACCUGUUCGCUCAUGGUGUUGAUCCCAUCGGGCCCCAGCAGAGACACUGCCUGCUUCACCAGGUCUGUUCGUCCACAGUUCAGCAUCCGGAAACCCAGGUCCUGCUUAAACUUGGCUUCGAUGGCCACCGCAUCCAGCUUUCGAGAUGCACAAAAGCAGUCGUCGGCCCUAAGGAAGGGAAGAGACAUCAUGCGGGUACAGCGGCUUCCCAGAGGGGCACAGGAGCAAACUCCGCAGGAAGCACCCUGGGACAUUGCAUUUGCUUUUCAUGUAAAUUGCCUGUUCCUAGGCUCCAAUUAAAAUGAUGGCCUCCGGAUGUCUCUU